CGUAGGGACCAAGCGUUGUUCGGAUUUACUGGGCGUAAAGGGCGCGUAGGCGGCGCGGUAAGUCACUUGUGAAAUCUCUGAGCUUAACUCAGAACGGCCAAGUGAUACUGCAGUGCUAGAGUGUGGAAGGGCAAUCGGAAUUCUUGGUGUAGCGGUGAAAUGCGUAGAUAUCAAGAGGAACACCUGAGGUGAAGACGGGUUGCUGGGCCAACACUGACGCUGAGGCGCGAAAGCCAGGGGAGCAAACGGGAUUAGAUACCCCGGUAGUCCUGGCCCUAAACGAUGAAUACUUGGUGUCUGGAGUUUUAAUGCUCCGGGUGCCGUCGCUAACGUUUUUAGUAUUCCGCCUGGGGAGUACGCUCGCAAGAGUG
rnacentral:rRNA from 1 species